GACGAACGCUGGCGGCGUGCUUAACACAUGCAAGUCGAACGAAGUGGCGAACGGGUGAGUAACGCGUAAUCAACCUGCCCUUCUGCGGGUGACAACAGUUGGAAACGACUGCUAAUAUCGCAUACUGAAGGUGGGGAUUGCGUCUGUUUAGCUGGUUGGAGGGGUAACGGCCCACCAAGGCGAUGUUCAGUAGCCGGUCUGAGAGGAUGAACGGCCACAUUGGGACUGGGACACGGCCCAGACUCCUACGGGAGGCAGCAGUGGGGAAUCUUCCGCCAUGGACGAAAGUCUGACGGAGCAACGCCGCGUGAGUGAUGACGGCCUUCGGGUUGUAAAGCUCUGUUAAUCGGGACGCGGUACCGGAAUAGAAAGCCACGGCUAACUACGUGCCAGCAGCCGCGGUAAUAC
rnacentral:rRNA from 1 species